rnacentral:rRNA from 1 species
UACGGAGGGUGCAAGCGUUAAUCGGAAUUACUGGGCGUAAAGGGCGCGUAGGCGGCCCGCUAAGUCGAACGUGAAAUCCCCGGGCUCAACCCGGGAACUGCGUCCGAUACUGGCAGGCUUGAAUCCGGGAGAGGGAUGUGGAAUUCCAGGUGUAGCGGUGAAAUGCGUAGAUAUCUGGAGGAACACCGGUGGCGAAGGCGGCAUCCUGGACCGGUAUUGACGCUGAGGCGCGAAAGCCAGGGGAGCAAACGGG